UAUAGGAUAGCCACUAGAAAUGGUGGGUAAUACUGUAUAAUCCCUGCGGGGGAAAGAUUUAUCGCUAUUAGAUGAGCCUAUGUCAGAUUAGCUAGUUGGUGGGGUAAUGGCCCACCAAGGCUGUGAUCUGUAGCUGGUCUGAGAGGAUGAUCAGCCACACUGGAACUGAGACACGGUCCAGACUCCUACGGGAGGCAGCAGUGGGGAAUAUUGGACAAUGGGCGCAAGCCUGAUCCAGCUAUGCCGCGUGAGUGAGGAAGGCCUUAGGGUUGUAAAACUCUUUCAGUAGGGAAGAUAAUGACGGUACCUACAGAAGAAGUCCCGGCAAACUCCGUGCCAGCAGCCGCGGUAAUACGGAGGGGGCAAGCGUUGUUCGGAAUUAUUGGGCGUAAAGGGCAUGUAGGCGGUUUGGUAAGUUAAAGGUGAAAUACCAGGGCUUAACCCUGGGGCUGCUUUUAAUACUGCAGGACUAGAGUCCGGA
rnacentral:rRNA from 1 species